GAGGUGGGGUAAAGAGCUGGGAUUAGAUGAAAUUGCUGUCACAUAGAGAUCUUCUAAGAUACUAGUAAUGUUCUAUUUUUUCACCUAGGUGUGAAUAUGAUCUAUGUAAUAACAAAAUAUUAAGAAAAAGAAACAUGUUUGUGUAACACAUUUUUAAAAGCAGACUUACAUGAACGUAUAUGCAACACAUAUUCUUAAUAAAGCUUAUUCUAACAAUGGGGGUAUAGACAGCCCUAAGUUGGUAACUGUUUAAAUGAGUUAGUGUUUGAUAGGUACACGAGACUCCUUUUUAUGACUUACUCUACUUUUAUAUAUGUUUGAAAUUUUUCAUAAAACCUGUUUUGAAAAUUCAAUACUUUUAAUUCUAAAUGAGUAUUUCUUAUCAAGAAUAAAAAGGAACCUAGAUUUCCAGCUUCUGCUUACAAUGUAGAAAGAUUUAAAAAGCACUGCUCCCACCCUCACAAUAACAACAAACACCAGACAAUAUGCAAAUUCACCACGGUUCUUGAACUUAUACAGCUGAGGCUGCAGGACCAACGAAUCCAAAAUCUAAGGACAGAAGAGUCACAAGCACUUGCUUACCUGAAACAGAUACUACUGGACAAUGGUAAGAAAAAGUAAGCUAAAUUUUUUAACUAAUUGCUAAAGGUUUAUUAUAAGCAAACAAGAGUCUCUAAAAACCCUGGGGGUCACAGACACAAGGGGAAUUCAUACUCAUUCAUAGGUUCUUCUCCAAGUAGACAUACUACAAAAUAGUUGACCAAGAAGCCACUGGUUUUAACCUGGGCCAUGGACCCUUACUGUUAGGAACCAGGCUGCACAGCAAGAGGUGAGCAGCUGGCAAGCAAGCAUAUAGCCCUAGCCUUGGCUCCUGUGAGUGCUGUCUUUGGAACUUUGCCUGCAAACAGCCCAAAGGAGAUGCGGAACUCCUACUUGGCAGCUAUGUGGGAGAACAUGGAGCUGAUAAUGGCUGAUGGCAGGCGCCUCCAGAUGGUAGCAGUGUCUGCAAAGCCAUCCUAUUUUUAUAAGGAUUAAAUAAGUUAAAAUUCCCUGGUACAUAAAAAGAAAAUAUAAAAGUACUAUUAUUCUAGACAUUUUUAAGAAAUCAUUUUUUACGUCUGUCUCUUCAGAGCAUCCCUGGUUUUAUAAGAUAUAAACUAUGAGAAAAUUUGGAAAGGACACAACAUAUAAUCCUUAGUGUUUACAUAAAAAUUCCUGUUAAUACUUUUGUGAAAACUAUCUUCCCUUCCCCACAAAGGAAUAAAAGAGCAUUAUUAAAAUGUUCUUGUCUCAAAAAAAAAGGUUCCUCAAACUUUUCCUUUAUCAAAUGUAAAUCACAGCUGCUCUGAUGAAAUGUUUUUUAAUUAAGUCUCUAUAUAAAGAAUGUUCUUAAAUGUCAAAUCUGCACCAAAAUUUAAUUACCUUAAAACCAUCCAUAUUUUCUAAGUGCACACUUGUUAAGAACGUUUAUUCCCAUUAUCUGCUUCACCAUGUAACUAGCAAGGGAAUCUUGGGAGUAUGUAACACAAAUUACUUGCCUUAGAAAAGACACUGUUUAUUCCACAUGUGUAAAAUUCAGUGAAUGACUUUCAGAAAAAUCAAAAGAAAGUAAAUGUAACAUCCAUACAGUUGUUUAAGCUUUAUUUUUAAAUGCAUGCAUGUUUCAAGGAAACAAAAAUUUCAAGAUACAGAAUACAACAUAUCAGAUUAAAUAAUUCAGAAUUAUUUUAAUGUAUACACAAAUAACAAUAUAAAGCACAUACAUAAGAUACAUUAUAUA
rnacentral:lncRNA from 1 species